GACGAACGCUGGCGGCGCGCCUAACACAUGCAAGUCGAGCGGGAAGCUUUUUAAGGAUUCUUCGGAUGAAUUAAAAAGUGGAGAGCGGCGGACGGGUGAGUAACGCGUGAGAAACCUGCCCUAUACAGGGGGAUAGCCAUUGGAAACGAUGAUUAAUGCCUCAUAAGACUACAGUAUCGCAUGAUACAGUAGCCAAAACUCCGGUGGUACAGGAUGGACCCGCGUUAGAUUAGCUAGUUGGUAAGGUAAAGGCUUACCAAGGCGACGAUCUAUAGCCGACCUGAGAGGGUGAUCGGCCACACUGGAACUGAGACACGGUCCAGACUCCUACGGGAGGCAGCAGUGGGGAAUAUUGCACAAUGGGCGAAAGCCUGAUGCAGCAACGCCGCGUGAGCGAAGAAGGUCUUCGGAUCGUAAAGCUCUGUCCUAUGGGAAGAACACAAUGACGGUACCAUAGGAGGAAG
rnacentral:rRNA from 1 species